UACGGAAGGGGCUAGCGUUGUUCGGAAUUACUGGGCGUAAAGCGCGCGCAGGCGGUUGGACAAGUGAGGCGUGAAAGCCCUGGGCUCAACCUGGGAAUUGCGUUUCAGACUGUUCGACUGGAGUUCGGGAGAGGGUGGUGGAAUUCCCAGUGUAGAGGUGAAAUUCGUAGAUAUUGGGAGGAACACCGGUGGCGAAGGCGGCCACCUGGCCCGUAACUGACGCUAUAGCGCGAAAGCGUGGGGAGCAAACAGG
rnacentral:rRNA from 1 species